AUUGAACGCUGGCGGAAUGCUUUACACAUGCAAGUCGAACGGCAGCACGGACUUCGGUCUGGUGGCGAGUGGCGAACGGGUGAGUAACAUAUCGGAACGUAUCCAAUAAUGGGGGAUAACUAAUCGAAAGGUUGGCUAAUACCGCAUACGCCCUACGGGGAAAGCAGGGGAUCUUCGGACCUUGCGUUAAUGGAGCGGCUGAUAUCUGAUUAGCUAGUUGGUGAGGUAAAGGCUCACCAAGGCGACGAUCAGUAGCUGGUCUGGGAGGACGACCAGCCACACUGGAACUGAGACACGGGCCAGACUCCUACGGGAGGCAGCAGUGGGGAAUGUUGGACAAUGGGCGCAAGCCUGAUCCAGCCAUUCCGCGUGAGUGAAGAAGGCCUUCGGGUUGUAAAGCUCUUUCGCAAGGGAAGAAAACUUACCUUCUAAUAAAGAGUGAGGUUGACGGUACCUUGAUAAGAAGCACCGGCUAACUACGUGCCAGCCGCCGCCGUAA
rnacentral:rRNA from 1 species